GGUUUCUCAGUAUCUCCUAUCUUAAUCCAGUGUUUCAUCUCUCUUAGGCUACUACUUUAUUCUUAGGUUAGAUGUUGUUGAAUUCAGCGUUUGAGUACUGGCUGUGAUGUUCAAAUCUACCUAUUUUAUGAGAGAAUUCACUUCUCUUGUGAUUAAAAAACCAAUGGAUCCUUCUGAGCCUACUCUGCAUUUCAAUUUUUUUACUUGUAUGUUUACAUGCCAUCGAGGUGAGGAUAAUCGAUUCGGAAAGGAUAUAUGUCGAUCGGAAAUACUUCCAGACUACAAUUAUCUGAUCGAUGGCUAUUUCCGCUCUUGAUCUCAAUUCAUCUUUAUCUUUUAAAUCUUAUAUGUUGAUUUGAGAAAGAAUUUGUAUAAUUUUAUAGGAUGGUUUCGGAGUUGUUCGAUACUUUGUACUCCUUUUCAGUUUUUGUAAAGCUUUUUUUCUGCCGUUCCGUUGAGUGUACCGCCGCCUCCUUGCGAUGCAGUUUGGUGUGCUCGACGGAUACUGAAAUUUUAGCGAUGUGCUUAGGUGAGCUUGCCGACAGUUAGCUUACUUAAGUGUUUAACGCCGGUGUUCCUCGUUCCAAAUUUUUGGAUGAGUUCAUAAAUUUUAUUGCCGUUUUAGACUUGUAUUUUAAAAGAAGUAUAUUUUUCGUACUAAAAUUUUUAUCAAUUUGAUAUGCACUUUGUAUUUCGGUAUCAAAAUAGCAUUUUGGAAAUAAAGAUGGUGAGGGUUUGUUGGCGUCGCUGUAUGUCUGCAUUAGUUGGGGUUGAAAAAUGUUGUUUAAUAUAGAGUCAAGAGCUUUAUAUGCCCUAAACUAUGCUCUUUAUUCGCCUCGGUUUAUGAGAGUUUGCCCAAUAUUGACUCUAGUAUUCGAUUUGUCAAGAGAAGAAGUUCGAACGAACUACUAACUAGAAGAACCGAAAGACAUAAAAUUCACAUUAGAGCGAAGUUCGUUGUCAUCAACUAGUCCGGUGUAUAGAUAGUUACACACAUUGUACUCUACUUGAUGCAGGAAUAGAAAGUACCAUUUCUGCUGCAUCCUUUGUUCAUUAUUCAUUUAUGUACAAUGGUGGCAUUGGGCGCCCUAAUCGGAGCUGGAAGCGCACUCGUACAUUAUGUAUUGUCUCAGUAAUCAGUUCCUCUGCCUCACUGGCAAGUUUUUCAGCAUCUCUGGACGAAGCAUAUAUACAGAAAACAUUAGCCACUAGUGGUGAAAAAGUUGGUAUAACAAAGAUAACACUCUGUAUCUGUACCUAAUUAGAAGUUCCUGUGGCAUGGAGACUUCGACUUGAAGAAAUAUCUCCCCUUGCAACAGGUGGGGUGUGAUUCGCUCCACAACAAUUUUCUGAAAUCCAUACAAAGAUGUUAUGGAUUCUAGGAAUUAAUGAGGAAGAGGGCCUAUGUUGUAAGAUUGAAAUAGGUGGUCUAGUCUAAAACUUGCAUUGAACUGUAGAGUAAAGAAAAAUAAUUUCUUUCAGGUUAAAUUUCAUUUUUUGGCUUAGAUUUA